rnacentral:rRNA from 1 species
ACGAACGCUGGCGGCGCGCCUAACACAUGCAAGUCGAACGAGCGAGAGAGAGCUUGCUUUCUUGAGCGAGUGGCGAACGGGUGAGUAACGCGUGAGGAACCUGCCUCAAAGAGGGGGACAACAGUUGGAAACGACUGCUAAUACCGCAUAAGCCCACGACCCGGCAUCGGGUCGAGGGAAAAGGAGUGAUCCGCUUUGAGAUGGCCUCGCGUCCGAUUAGCUAGUUGGUGAGGUAACGGCCCACCAAGGCGACGAUCGGUAGCCGGACUGAGAGGUUGAACGGCCACAUUGGGACUGAGACACGGCCCAGACUCCUACGGGAGGUAGCAGUGGGGAAUAUUGCACAAUGGGGGAAACCCUGAUGCAGCGACGCCGCGUGGAGGAAGAAGGUCUUCGGAUUGUAAACUCCUGUUGUUGAGGAAGAUAAUGACGGUACUCAACAAGGAAGUGACGGCUAACUACGUGCCAGCCGCCGCGGUAAUAC